rnacentral:rRNA from 1 species
UACGAAGGGGGCUAGCGUUGCUCGGAAUUACUGGGCGUAAAGCGCACGUAGGCGGCUUUGUAAGUUAGAGGUGAAAGCCCGGGGCUCAACUCCGGAACUGCCUUUAAGACUGCAUCGCUAGAAUUGUGGAGAGGUAAGUGGAAUUCCGAGUGUAGAGGUGAAAUUCGUAGAUAUUCGGAAGAACACCAGUGGCGAAGGCGACUUACUGGACACAUAUUGACGCUGAGGUGCGAAAGCGUGGGGAGCAAACAGG